GGGGAACAAUCUGUUGGACGAGAGGACGUUGAGCAGGAUUCUGUGCAUUCCGGUUCUUUAUCGUCGGGAGGGCGGGUGAUUGGUUGUCUAAAUUUUCAACAAAGGUAAGGAUCCUUGUACGCCAAUCCUGCAUGAUAUAAUAUUUUUAUAUCUACAUAUGUAUGAUAUGCUAUAAUCCAGAUAAAUCAAAAAUAGUUUUAUAUUAAAUUAUAUUUUGAUCGUGUUGGCUUGUGGUUGAUAUUAUGAUCGUAUUCGCUUGUGGUUGGUAUUAUGAUGGAUGCAUGCAUGCGCAUAACUUACACCUACAUAAUUGGACUGAUGGAUGUGGUGCUCUAAACUAACUAUGUGAUAUUGGUUGCCCCGUCACGGGCUGGAAACGUAACCGUGGUUAG
rnacentral:lncRNA from 1 species